GCCCCGUGGGGCGGGGUCUCCCCGUGAGACGCGCGCUGCUCAGUGAGGUGGAGUCUCCAGGUGAGGGUAAGGCGCGCACCGCCUUAGGGGGCGGGGCCUCCACGUGAGGGUAAGGCGCACGCUGCCCCGUGGGGCGGGGUCUCCACGUGAGGGCGAGGCGCGCGCUGCUCAGUGAGGUGCGGUCUCCACGUGAGGACAGGCGAACGCUGCCUUGUGGGGCGGGGCCUCCACGUCAGGGAAAAGGACCUCUCAAAAGACUGGAGGUUUAACAACAAAUGAGCAUUUGCUUCACUUUGUGUAUUUUUUGACACAAAGUUUUCUCAAAACAGCGGGCACCUGUGGGUCCGAAUUGUUCAAUAAUCCUCAAAGAACGAAAGCCACCGAGAAAAGCGUUUAAAGGGCAGUUGAGAUAACAGCCGGUGCCUGGACUUGGCCAAGCGGAAACCCACGAGGGCAGUGGCUCUCAAAGUGUAGUGCCUGGACUGGACCAGCAGCAGCAGCGUGAUCACCGGGAAACUUGUUAGAAAUGCAAAUUCUUGGGCCUCACCCUAGACCUACUGAAUCACUGUAAAGAUGCGGCCCAGCAGUCUGUGUUUUAGCAAGUCCACCACGUGAUUCUGAUGCAGGCUGAAGUUAAGAACCAUUGCUUUUCUCUCUACUCCUAAGCUGAAGAUCUGUGGUCUCUGGAAAACUUUCAUUCUAGAAGAAAGUUGCGGGCAGGGCGGGGGGAAGAACCCAAAGAGUUAACAAAAAGAUAUACAAAGAUGUUUCUUCCUGGGGGAAAUUUGGUAGAGCACUUCUUUUCUGGCACGUAUCCACUCUGGAAGUUUUCUUUAAAAAAGAGUUUGCCUUUUGAUUUACUGAAACAAGGAAUUUAUUUCUGUGAUUACUGUGCAGAAGCCAGUGAGAAGUGAUUACUCAUGACUGUGGAAAGUCACCUGUU